UCGUGACCUGAGCUGAAGUCGGACGCCCAACCGACUGAGCCACCCCGGCGCCCCAGUAUGGCACGGAACUUUUGACAAGAAUUGUAAAUCCAAUUCAUUUAUCCAUGAAGAAAAAACAAGGACCGGCAGUAGAGGACCUGGUGGCAAGUUAACCCUGAUACUAAGAAAAGAGGCCAAUGCACAAUCUCCCAUGGCAACUGGGAACCAAAUAACGACCUCUGGGUAAUACGUGAUCAGGCUGCCUUGGUUGCAAAAUCAAUAAGACACUGGGCCACUGUGAAAAGCUGCAGUCACUCUGGACUGAAGAAACGUGGGCCGCGCGAGUAGGAGUGGUAUUGACUUGGUUUUCAACUCUUGAAAAGGGCGGCCGGAUUGGAAGGAGCAAGCAAGGAGGACCGGGCGGGGGUGUGCUGGAAAUGGAACAGCAUCAGGAAGAAGGAGGAACCCAGACAGGACCGGGGUUAGAUGGUCUCUUAACAUUGGGCUCUCCUCCCUUUGAAAACAGUGGCUUUUAUCUCCAAGCCCGGAGGGAUGGGUCCCAUACUGUUCUGCUUGUGGUCACACAGGAAGAACAGAACGAUGCUUUCUUGUAGUUCGUCUUUUUCCCUGAAAAAUGCCUCAGGAUAAAUCACACGCAUGCCACCAAGGUCUCCACAGACCUAGUUUUCAACUUGGCUGGAUUAGAUUUGGUCUUUUUCCUCGUUGUCUCCACCAUUUCAAAGAACACCGUAUAUUUAUAA